AUCUUGCUUCUUCUGUGACAUCAUGGCCCCUGCCUCUUUGGAUACUCUAAGAUGUCAAAUUGACUGAGGAUGACUCCUGAGGACCCUUUGAGAUGAUUACCAUCGUUGUAGGUAUAGCUUGAUGUAUUCUUGUGUUUAUGAACGCAGAGGUGUUUAGAAACACUACUGGGAAUAUUCUCUAACUUUCAGGUGGAACCAGAAAAGAGAAAAUUUCUGUUCUUCUGAUCAUUUGUCAAAUUCAGCUCGAAACAGGAUCUUGAGUACAGAACAUUUUUCCUGGUUGCUGCAUAGCUCAGUUAAUCUGUAUACCAUAGGAGUGUGUUAUUGAGAGCAUUUGCAGAAGGGUGAAACCAGGAGCUCAUGGCUCAAGUAGGAAAAAGUUUCAUUAUUUGCAGAGCAAGAGAAUGAAACUCCUGAGACCUGAAUUUCAGGGCUCCUUGAAAUGAUGGAUGCAUUCUUUUACCUUGAUGGAGAAAAAGAACAUAAUAAAAUCGAGAAAGUA
rnacentral:sRNA from 1 species